GGAGGGUAUAGCUCAAGUGGUAGAGCGCAUGCUUAGCAUGCAUGAGGUCCUGGGUUCAAUUCCCAGUACCUCCU
rnacentral:tRNA from 1 species